UACAGAGGGUGCGAGCGUUGUCCGGAUUUAUUGGGCGUAAAGAGCGUGUAGGCGGCCACACAGGUCUGCUGUGAAAACUCGAGGCUCAACCUCGAGCUGUCGGUGGAAACCGUGUGGCUAGAGUCCGGAAGAGGAGAGUGGAAUUCCCGGUGUAGCGGUGAAAUGCGCAGAUAUCGGGAAGAACACCAGCGGCGAAGGCGGCUCACUGGCCCGAUACUGACGCUGAGGCACGAAAGCGUGGGGAGCGAACAGG
rnacentral:rRNA from 1 species